rnacentral:rRNA from 1 species
GGGCCGCAAGGCCAGUGGCGCAAGGGUGAGUAAGGCGACGGUAACCAACCCCAUGAUUGGGCAUAGCCGCGGGAAACUGCGGGUAAUUCCCAGCGACGUCACCGGAGGGCAUCCCCCGGUGACCAAAGUUCCGGCGUCGUGGGACGGGCUGUCGUGGUAUUAGCUAGUUGGCGGGGUAACGGCCCACCAAGGCGGUGAUGCCUACCGGGCGUGCGAGCGUGGCCCGGCACACUGGGACUGAGACACUGCCCAGACUCCUACGGGAGGCUGCAGUCGAGAAUCUUCGGCAAUGGGCGCAAGCCUGACCGAGCGACGCCGCGUGAAGGACGAAGGCCUUCGGGUUGUAAACUCCUGUCGAGGGGGAAGAAGGGCCCUUAAAAGCCUUGACUGAUCCCUGGAGGAAGCACGGGCUAAGUUCGUGCCAGCAGCCGCGGUAAGACGAACCGUGCGAACGUUAUUCGGAAUCACUGGGCUUAAAGCGCGUGUAGGCGGGUCGGCACGUCGGUCGCUGAAAUCCCCCGGCUCAACCGGGGAAGGGGCGCCGAUACGGCCGGCCUGGAGGGACGUAGGGGGGGCUGGAACUUCCGGUGGAGCGGUGAAAUGCGUUGAGAUCGGAAGGAACGCCCGUGGCGAAAGCGAGCCCCUGGACGUCUACUGACGCUGAGACGCGAAAGCCAGGGGAGCGAACGGGAUUAGAUACCCCGGUAGUCCUGGCCGUAAACGAUGGGCACUGGGUAGGGGGCUCGCCGAUGGGCUCCCUGCCGUAGGGAAACCGUGAAGUGCCCGCCUGGGGAGUAUGGUCGCAAGGCUGAAACUCAAAGG